UGGUCAUUUCUGUUUUGGCAUCACUCUGUAUGUUUAUCCUGUCGUCUCUCUGCAUGUUCCCUGUUUCUUUUCUUUCACCGCUAUUCUUGUUUCUGACCCGCCCUCCCUUCUUUUUUCCUUUUCUUUCUUUUUCCCCUCCUCACCCUAUCUCUCCCUUAUUUUCUAAUUCUCUUCCUAUCUGUCUCUCCCUUUCUACCACUUAUAUUCUUUACUUUUUUUUUACAUUUUUACUCUUUCACUUUUUUACCUCUUUUACUUUUUACUCCACCUUGUCUUCUACCUUAGGCUUUGUUUUAUUUGCCCUAACUGUCCCUACAACUCUUCCUCCUGCUCCUCCUCCACCGCCUCCUGUUUGGUCUCCUGUUUCUCUUCUUCUCCUUCUGUCUCUCUCUCUCUCUCUCUCUCUCUCUCUCUCUCUCUCUCUCUCUCUCUUUUUCUCUCUCUUUCUCUCUCUCCUUCUCUCUCUCUCCCUCUCUCUCUCUCUCUCUCUCUCUCUCUCUCUCUCUCUCUCUCUCUCUCUUUCUUUCUCUCUCUCCUUCUCUCUCUUUCUCUCCCUCUCACUCUCCCCCCCCUUCAUGUGUGUUUGUCUCUCUCACUCUCUCCCAAUCUCUGUCUCUGUCUCAGUCUCUCUCUCUAUUUCUCCCUGGCUCUAUUCUCUCUCUUUCUCUCUCCUGAUUCAUUUUCUCUAUGUCCCUUUCUACUUCCUAUUCUCUCCUGGCUCUCUCUCCUCUCUGUCAUGUCUCUCGCCCAGAAUUUCCUCAUCUCUUCACAUUCCUAUCUUGCUUGGUGUCAAUCUGUCCAUCUGUCCUACUCUGCCCAUCCAUGCUCCAUGUUUCUUUUUCUCACCUACCUUUUUGUGUCUGACUCUCUGUCCCUUUACAUUUCCUUUUCUAUCCCUUUCCUCUUCUCCCCUUAUCUCUUCCUCGCACUCCAAUUCCCUCUCUUUCUCUGUCUCUCUCUCUUCCUCCAUGUUUUUACAUUUCUGGCUCUCUCCAUUGUUUUCUCUAUGUCCCUUUCUCCUCAUUCCUUCCUUCUCUCUGUGUUGUCUCUCUCCCUCUCUUGAUAUAUCUCUGUGUCUCUCUCCUACCCACUCUUGCUGCUUUUCUUCUCCUAUCUUUGUCUAUCCCUCUCUAUCUUUCCUCUGUGUUCCUACUUCUCCAUCGAUCCAUCACUCUCUCAAUGUUCAAUCUAUGCUUUUGUUUUACACUGUACCUCUCUUCCAAUUCUUCUAUACCUCCCAUUUCCUUCUACAUUAUUAUAAUUCUUGCCCUAUUUCUCUGUUUCCCUUCAUCUCUACUCUUUUGCUCAGUCUUCUUGUCUCACCAUUUUUUCCUACCAUGCUACCUGUCUUUCUUUCCUUCCUUGUCUCUCUAUGUGUGUCUCACUCUAUAUUUCUGUCUCCAUCUCUGUCCCUGACUUGUGCUGACUUUGUAUCUAUCCCUAUAUCUGAAAUUUCUCCCUUUCUCUCACCAAAUUUUUUAUUUUUCCUGUACUCUGCCUUUUCCCUUAGGCUAUGUUUCAUUUUCCCUGCCUACCUACUCCUCCUCCUCCACCUCCUACUCCUUAGAAAUCUCUGUCUCUGUCUCUGUCUCUGUCUCUCUCUGUCUCUCUCUCUUUCUCUCUCCUUCUCACUCUUUCUCUUUAUGUCUCUCUGUGUCGCUUGCUUUCUUUCUCACUCUCCUUGUGUCUCUUUCUGUCUCCUGAUUGGUUUUCUCUAUGUCCCUUUUAGUUCCGAUAUUAUUCUAUCUGUCACUCCUCUCUCAUGUCCCUCUCUCACAAUUUACAUGUCUUGUUUGGUGUUUAUCUCUCUAUCUGUCCUACUCUGCCUAUCCAUCUUCCUGUUUCUUUUUUUACCUCCAUUUUUGUCUCUGACUCUUCCUCCCUUCAUUUUUCAUUUUCUUUCCUUUUCCCCUCCUCAUCCUAUCUCUUCCUCAUUGUCUAAUUCCCUCUCUUUCUCUCUGUCUCUCACUUUCUACCUCCAAUGCUCUCCAUUUGCUUUCUGUAUGUCACUUUCUCUUCAUUCCUUCCUUUCCUCUGUCUUGUCUCUCUCCCUCAAUUGACAUGACACUUUCCAUCUGUCUGUCUCUCUCUUCCCGAACUAUCUUGGCUUUUCCUGUCCUACCUUUUUUAAAAAAUAUAUAAAUUUAUUUAUUUUUAGUUUUCAACAUUCACUUCCUCAAGUUUUUGAGUUCCAAAUUUUCUCCCCAUCUCACCCCAGCCCCCACCUCAAGAUUGCAUGCAUUCUGAAUAUCCCUUCCCCUAGUAUGACUUCUUUUCUAUCUCUUUCCCCUUCUUUUAUCCCCUUCCCCUUCUAUUUUCCUGUAGGGCAGGAUAGACUUCUGUACCCCAUUUCCUGUAUUUCUUAUUUCCCAAUAGCAUGUGAAAACUUUUUUUUAAACACAUUUUUAAAACUUUAGGUUUCAAAUUUUCUCUCUUCCUCCCUCCCCACCCACCCUCAUUGAAAAGGCAAGCAACUCAAUAUAGGUUGUAUAUGUGCAGUUAUGCAAAACACUUCCAUAGUAGACAUGUUGUGAAAAACUAACUCUAUUUCCCUUAAUCCUAUCCUGCCCUCCCAUUUAUUCUAUUCUUUCUUUUGACCCUGUCCCUCCUCAGAAGUAUUUACUUCUGAUUACCCCCUUUCCCAAUCUGCCCUUCUCUCUAUCAUCCCCCUGCUCUCUUGUCCCCUUCUCCCCCUAUUUUCCUGUAGGGUAAGACAGAUUUCCAUACCCAAUUGAAUGUGUAUGUUAUUCCCUCCUUAAGCCAAAUCCUAUGAGAAUAAGAUUCACUCAUUCCCUCUCACCUUCCCCUGUUUCCCC
ensembl:lncRNA